rnacentral:rRNA from 1 species
AACGAACGCUGGCGGCGUGCCUAACACAUGCAAGUCGAACGGAAUUAAGGGGCUUGCUCCUUAAUUUAGUGGCGCACGGGUGAGUAACGCGUAGAUAAUCUGCCUGAUGAUCUGGGAUAA